UGAAGUUUCCUGUUCCUCAAUGAUAUAUCUGUUGGUGUUGGUUUGAAAAAAGUUACAAAGUUGGUUUGCGUUGAUUUAUGAUUAACAACAGAAAAUGCAUUACUUCAACAAAUAUUCCCUGGAGGAUGCCGGUUAAAAAGAAAAACUGAAGAAACUUUAUAUAUGGUGGCGAUAUGAGAGAACUGCUGUGGCAGAAUAUUACCAUC
rnacentral:lncRNA from 1 species